rnacentral:misc_RNA from 1 species
AUAAAAAAAAGCCUUCCUUUUUUUGUUCCAUAGAGGGAAAAAGUAAAAACUUUCCAACAACGAAAGAGAAGAUCGAAGUGGGACUGUAGCUAAAAGAAUCGAGCUUUCUGUUAGAAGCAGAACAAACAUUGCUUAUUCUGAUUCUGAUUCUGCGACAAGGGAAAUUUAAAAAAAAAAAAAAUGUCGUCGCCGGACAUUGCGGGAAUUUUGGAGAACUCGAGGGAGCUCGAUCGGUUAAGGAAAGAGCAAGAGGAAGUGCUUUCGGAGAUCAAUAAGAUGCACAAGAAGCUCCAAGCUACUCCUGAGGUAGUUGAGAAGCCUGGUGAUAAUUCUUUGUCAAGGCUUAAAAUUUUAUAUACUCAGGCCAAGGAUCUUUCAGAAAAUGAAGUAAAUGUUUCCAACCAGUUGUUGAGUCAACUGGAUCUUCUGCUUCCAUCUGGGCCUCCAGCACAACAACGAAGGAGAAUAGAAGGUAGUGAUCAGAAAAGGAAAAGAAUGAAGAAUGAGUCAGAUAUCUCAAGGCUUUCUCCUUCCAUGAGAAAUCAACUUGAAGCUUGUGCUAGUCUAAAGGGUGAACAGGUAGCAGCUAGGGUCACGGGUAACAAUGCUGAAAAGGAUGAGUGGUUCGUUGUAAAAGUGAUGCAAUUUGAUAGGGAAACGAAAGAAUUUGAAGUACUUGACGAGGAGCCAGGUGAUGAUGAAGAGGGUGGUGGCCAAAGAAAAUACAAGCUGCCCAUGUCAUGUAUUAUACCUUUCCCCAAGAAAAAUGAUCCAUCUAGUGCCCCUGAUUUUCCUCCUGGAAGACAUGUUUUGGCUGUUUAUCCAGGAACAACAGCACUCUACAAGGCAACUGUUGUCAGUCCGCCACGCAAGAGAAAGACAGACGAGUACCUGCUGGAGUUUGAUGAUGAUGAGGAAGAUGGUGCUUUGCCACAACGAGCAGUACCCUUUUACAAUGUGGUUCCCUUGCCUGACGGACACCGUCAAUGAAUCCUUGUUUAUAGUUGUGCAUAAUUAAAGUUGUUGUGUAGUGUUGUCCGCCAGACAAUUCUCCCCUUCUUCCUUUCAACUAAAAGGGACACACUGAUGUAGCAAACUCCUUCCUCGUUUGAGCUAUAAAAGUAGCCAAAUUCAACUUGCU